rnacentral:rRNA from 1 species
UACGAAGGGGGCUAGCGUUGCUCGGAAUCACUGGGCGUAAAGGGUGCGUAGGCGGGUCUUUAAGUCAGGGGUGAAAUCCUGGAGCUCAACUCCAGAACUGCCUUUGAUACUGAAGAUCUUGAGUUCGGGAGAGGUGAGUGGAACUGCGAGUGUAGAGGUGAAAUUCGUAGAUAUUCGCAAGAACACCAGUGGCGAAGGCGGCUCACUGGAUCGGUACUGACGCUGAGGUGCGAAAGCGUGGGGAGCGAACGAGGU